rnacentral:rRNA from 1 species
AUGAAGGAGGUGGUGCUCCACGUGUACGACGUGACCAACAGCGACUCCGAAAAGACCAACAACACCAUCCUCCAGAUCAACCGCAUCUUCAAGGACCGCAUCGGCCUCGGCGGCAUCUUCCACAGCGCCGUCCAGGUCUAUGGCGAGGAGGAGUGGUCGUUCGGGUUCUGCGAGAACGGCAGCGGGGUGUUCAGCUGCCCCGUGAGCAAGAACCCCAUGUACACAUACCGCGAGCGCAUCGUCCUCGGGGAGACGGAGUGCACCAUAGCCACCGUGAACAGGAUCCUGCGCGAGCUCAGCCGCGACUGGCCAGGGCACUCCUACGACCUCCUCUCCAGGAACUGCAACCACUUCUGCGACGUGCUCUGCGACAGGCUCGGCGUCCCCAAGCUUCCAGGCUGGGUUAAUCGUUUUGCCAAUGCUGGCGAUACUGCUGUGGUGGUAGCUGAGAAUACAGCAGUUAAGUUCAGGCAGGCUAAAACAGAAAUUGUCAAUGCUAGUAGAGUAGCAUAUAGAUUUAUGGCAGGCCUGACUUCGAAAAACCAGGCUUCCCAAGAGUCUCCGGGUGAACAAAAUAGAGACAGCCCUACUUUCCAAGGAACAUGGUUCAAGAAUGUUGUUUCAGCUGGGGCGAAGCCAUCUACAAGCGGGUCAACUCCCUCGCAAGAAGCUGAUGAUGCACGCCCCUUGCAGCACCAACAAUCGGCAGAGCAACCAACAAGGUUGUAG